CCUACGGAGGACAGCAGUGAGGAAUAUUGGUCAAUGGGCGUAAGCCUGAACCAGCUAAGUCGCGUGAGGGAUGAAGGUUCUAUGGAUCGUAAACCUCUUUUAUAAGGGAAUCAAGUGCGGGACGUGUCCCGUUUUGUAUGUACCUUAUGAAUAAGGAUCGGCUAACUCCGUGCCAGCAGCCGCGGUACUACGGAGGAUCCGCUCGUUAUCCGGAUUUAUUGGGUUUAAAAGGUGCGUAGGUGGCCUUUUAAGUCAGCGGUGAAAGUCUGUGGCUCAAACAUGGAAUUGCCGUUGAAAAUGGGAGGCUUGAGUAUGUUUGAGGCAGGCGGAAUGCGUGGUGUAGAGGUGAAAUGCUUAGAUAUCACGCAGAACCCCGAUUGCGAAGGCAGCCUGCCAAGCCAUGACUGACGCUGAUGCACGAAGGCGUGGGGAUCAAACAGGAUUAGAUACCCGGGUAGUC
rnacentral:rRNA from 1 species